rnacentral:rRNA from 1 species
UGGGGAAUUUUGGACAAUGGGCGAAAGCCUGAUCCAGCAAUGCCGCGUGUGUGAAGAAGGCCUUCGGGUUGUAAAGCACUUUUGUCCGGAAAGAAAUGGCUCUGGUUAAUACCUGGGGUCGAUGACGGUACCGGAAGAAUAAGGACCGGCUAACUACGUGCCAGCAGCUGCGGUAAUACGUAGGGUCCAAGCGUUAAUCGGAAUUACUGGGCGUAAAGCGUGCGCAGGCGGUUGUGCAAGACCGAUGUGAAAUCCCCGAGCUUAACUUGGGAAUUGCAUUGGUGACUGCACGGCUAGAGUGUGUCAGAGGGGGGUAGAAUUCCACGUGUAGCAGUGAAAUGCGUAGAGAUGUGGAGGAAUACCGAUGGCGAAGGCAGCCCCCUGGGAUAACACUGACGCUCAUGCACGAAAGCGUGGGGAGCAAACAGG